rnacentral:snoRNA from 1 species
GUAUAUGAUGAGAAAACUUUUUUUUACAGACCUGUACUGAGAUUUUUCAUGCAGAUAAAAAAUUGCCUAUAAUACCUGAUU